rnacentral:rRNA from 1 species
GGUUAAGCGACUAAGCGUACACGGUGGAUGCCCUGGCAGUCAGAGGCGAUGAAGGACGUGCUAAUCUGCGAUAAGCGUCGGUAAGGUGAUAUGAACCGUUAUAACCGGCGAUUUCCGAAUGGGGAAACCCAGUGUGUUUCGACACACUAUCAUUAACUGAAUCCAUAGGUUAAUGAGGCGAACCGGGGGAACUGAAACAUCUAAGUACCCCGAGGAAAAGAAAUCAACCGAGAUUCCCCCAGUAGCGGCGAGCGAACGGGGAGCAGCCCAGAGCCUGAAUCAGUGUGUGUGUUAGUGGAAGCGUCUGGAAAGGCGCGCGAUACAGGGUGACAGCCCCGUACACAAAAAUGCACAUGCUGUGAGCUCGAUGAGUAGGGCGGGACACGUGGUAUCCUGUCUGAAUAUGGGGGGACCAUCCUCCAAGGCUAAAUACUCCUGACUGACCGAUAGUGAACCAGUACCGUGAGGGAAAGGCGAAAAGAACCCCGGCGAGGGGAGUGAAAAAGAACCUGAAACCGUGUACGUACAAGCAGUGGGAGCACGCUUAGGCGUGUGACUGCGUACCUUUUGUAUAAUGGGUCAGCGACUUAUAUUCUGUAGCAAGGUUAACCGAAUAGGGGAGCCGAAGGGAAACCGAGUCUUAACUGGGCGUUAAGUUGCAGGGUAUAGACCCGAAACCCGGUGAUCUAGCCAUGGGCAGGUUGAAGGUUGGGUAACACUAACUGGAGGACCGAACCGACUAAUGUUGAAAAAUUAGCGGAUGACUUGUGGCUGGGGGUGAAAGGCCAAUCAAACCGGGAGAUAGCUGGUUCUCCCCGAAAGCUAUUUAGGUAGCGCCUCGUGAAUUCAUCUCCGGGGGUAGAGCACUGUUUCGGCAAGGGGGUCAUCCCGACUUACCAACCCGAUGCAAACUGCGAAUACCGGAGAAUGUUAUCACGGGAGACACACGGCGGGUGCUAACGUCCGUCGUGAAGAGGGAAACAACCCAGACCGCCAGCUAAGGUCCCAAAGUCAUGGUUAAGUGGGAAACGAUGUGGGAAGGCCCAGACAGCCAGGAUGUUGGCUUAGAAGCAGCCAUCAUUUAAAGAAAGCGUAAUAGCUCACUGGUCGAGUCGGCCUGCGCGGAAGAUGUAACGGGGCUAAACCAUGCACCGAAGCUGCGGCAGCGACGCUUAUGCGUUGUUGGGUAGGGGAGCGUUCUGUAAGCCUGCGAAGGUGUGCUGUGAGGCAUGCUGGAGGUAUCAGAAGUGCGAAUGCUGACAUAAGUAACGAUAAAGCGGGUGAAAAGCCCGCUCGCCGGAAGACCAAGGGUUCCUGUCCAACGUUAAUCGGGGCAGGGUGAGUCGACCCCUAAGGCGAGGCCGAAAGGCGUAGUCGAUGGGAAACAGGUUAAUAUUCCUGUACUUGGUGUUACUGCGAAGGGGGGACGGAGAAGGCUAUGUUGGCCGGGCGACGGUUGUCCCGGUUUAAGCGUGUAGGCUGGUUUUCCAGGCAAAUCCGGAAAAUCAAGGCUGAGGCGUGAUGACGAGGCACUACGGUGCUGAAGCAACAAAUGCCCUGCUUCCAGGAAAAGCCUCUAAGCAUCAGGUAACAUCAAAUCGUACCCCAAACCGACACAGGUGGUCAGGUAGAGAAUACCAAGGCGCUUGAGAGAACUCGGGUGAAGGAACUAGGCAAAAUGGUGCCGUAACUUCGGGAGAAGGCACGCUGAUAUGUAGGUGAGGUCCCUCGCGGAUGGAGCUGAAAUCAGUCGAAGAUACCAGCUGGCUGCAACUGUUUAUUAAAAACACAGCACUGUGCAAACACGAAAGUGGACGUAUACGGUGUGACGCCUGCCCGGUGCCGGAAGGUUAAUUGAUGGGGUUAGCGCAAGCGAAGCUCUUGAUCGAAGCCCCGGUAAACGGCGGCCGUAACUAUAACGGUCCUAAGGUAGCGAAAUUCCUUGUCGGGUAAGUUCCGACCUGCACGAAUGGCGUAAUGAUGGCCAGGCUGUCUCCACCCGAGACUCAGUGAAAUUGAACUCGCUGUGAAGAUGCAGUGUACCCGCGGCAAGACGGAAAGACCCCGUGAACCUUUACUAUAGCUUGACACUGAACAUUGGACCUUGAUGUGUAGGAUAGGUGGGAGGCUUUGAAGUGUGGACGCCAGUCUGCAUGGAGCCGACCUUGAAAUACCACCCUUUAAUGUUUGAUGUUCUAACGUUGACCCGUAAUCCGGGUUGCGGACAGUGUCUGGUGGGUAGUUUGACUGGGGCGGUCUCCUCCUAAAGAGUAACGGAGGAGCACGAAGGUUGGCUAAUCCUGGUCGGACAUCAGGAGGUUAGUGCAAUGGCAUAAGCCAGCUUGACUGCGAGCGUGACGGCGCGAGCAGGUGCGAAAGCAGGUCAUAGUGAUCCGGUGGUUCUGAAUGGAAGGGCCAUCGCUCAACGGAUAAAAGGUACUCCGGGGAUAACAGGCUGAUACCGCCCAAGAGUUCAUAUCGACGGCGGUGUUUGGCACCUCGAUGUCGGCUCAUCACAUCCUGGGGCUGAAGUAGGUCCCAAGGGUAUGGCUGUUCGCCAUUUAAAGUGGUACGCGAGCUGGGUUUAGAACGUCGUGAGACAGUUCGGUCCCUAUCUGCCGUGGGCGCUGGAGAACUGAGGGGGGCUGCUCCUAGUACGAGAGGACCGGAGUGGACGCAUCACUGGUGUUCGGGUUGUCAUGCCAAUGGCACUGCCCGGUAGCUAAAUGCGGAAGAGAUAAGUGCUGAAAGCAUCUAAGCACGAAACUUGCCCCGAGAUGAGUUCUCCCUGACCCUUUAAGGGUCCUGAAGGAACGUUGAAGACGACGACGUUGAUAGGCCGGGUGUGUAAGCGCAGCGAUGCGUUGAGCUAACCGGUACUAAUGAACCGUGAGGCUUAACCU